CGUGUCACUUUUGCUAAACUCAACCGUCGGUUUCUUCUCGCGAUAACUCGCCAAGUGGCGUAUAUGUUUACGUCCACUGUAUACAGCGUAGACGUACACGCGGACAGCUCAAAAUGCAUACAGAUAACACGCCACUUGGCUUAAGAAAGUGGGCGUGUAUGUUUAUGCGAAGU